CCUUGAUCGUUUUUUCAGCGAUAUUAGAUGCAAAUCUAUUUAAUCCUCCGUCCUAAAUUCUUUUAAUUCACUUAUAAUUCUCAUAUGAUUCAAUUCCAGCACAUUACUUCAUCACUCUGCACUGGGACAACAGGUAUUUCUUGUAGUUUGCACGUUGCCUAGCAACGCCAUUGCUAUUGCAUGCGUCAUCACGCUGAUAACGUGUCCCGCCUGUGCACUUCCGGGUUCCGACAGGUGUCAGAUCGUUCACAAACUUCAUUGGUAAGUAAUUAUGAUACUUUUCUUAUAUAUUCUCAUUUUGCACACUGUAUAAUUGAUCUUGAAAAAGACCCUAUAGGGGUCGAAACGUUGAGUCGGACUAUUUAAAUGUAAAUGUAACUACAAUAAAAGAUACACCUUGGAAAAAGACCUAUAAGUGCACCUUAUUCAAUACAUAUUUGGAUGCUGAGGUUGCACCAAGGCAAGAUUUUUGUUUAAUAUUGCUUAAAGCGUGAGUGCCAAGACAACUUUCUUUUUAUAUAUCUAUAUAUAUAUAUACAUAUUUAUUUAUAUAUAUAUAUAUAUAUAUAUAUUUAUAUACUGUAUAUAUAAACAUAGAUAGAUCAAUGCACCUUAAUGCUGAUUGCAGAGUAUCGCUAAUGUUUUCCUAACUAAAAGCAAUGGAUUGGCUGAGAUCAUCGAGUUUGAUAAUCUCAGCCAUAAAGGCAGAGCCAGUCGCAGUGAGACUGGCGCAGCGUGGGAAAAAUGUGAGUAAAAACACCUUCUCGGUGCAAUCAGAGCGGGGAUCUAAACAGCCAUGCCAGGACUAUAGUAUCAGAAAUACAGAUUUCUAUUCCUGACACUAUAGUGUCCCUUUAAUAUUGAACCAAAACGGUAGCGCUUGAUGUCUGCCUCAGGUACUACACAUAUCUUUUGCGGAAAAAGAUAUAUCCUUUUUCUGGUACAGGUACAUAUUUCAAUCUUUGACGAGGUCUUUACUUUUAUCAAACUCAUUUCUCAUUUUCUUUGAACUACACAUAAAUUCUAUCAGUCAGGCAUGUCCUUCACAGGGAAUCGUUCAAGCUGUCAUUUCUCUAUUCCUUAUUUAUGGCUAUAACUUUACCUAAAUUGUCACUACAGAACCACAGAGCCAGAGCCAAAGGCAAAGCUUCAGGCAUCCAAGUGUAAGGUUGGACAGCAGGGAAGCUAUAUCCUGCAUGCUGGUUGACUUUCAGUGACCUUGAUGAUACCAGGGAAGACGUGAAAAUAUAUACUCAGUCAGUAAACAACUGUAAUGCAUUGAACUUUGAAUAAAGACAUUUUCAAAAA
rnacentral:lncRNA from 1 species